GUGUGUGAACUUGAGGAGCACUGGUUUUUAUUUUGUUGAUUAAAAGUAAUUGCAAAAAUUGACUGCAAAAUGUUAAGUUAGUUCUGAGAAAGUUCUAGCACCAUUUGAGAAAAAGAAAGCAAGACCAAGUGAAAGAGAACGAUUUAGGGCACACUAAGAAUCAGGUGUGUUGCUGCACCUAUUUGCCAACUGCUCUAUUUUGGGACUGGCAAUGGCGUGAAAAUGAAUUGAGGGAAUGCAGAUCUUCCAUCAUACUCAUAGUACAUAUAUAGAAGAAAGAAACUCCGGUUUGGAAUGACAUGAAGCCACCACUCGCCCAUUGAUUAGACGCCGCAUUGGCAGGGUUUGCACUUCCUGCAGACUCGGACCCCUCUGAGCACCCACACAAUAGGGACGGUUCAUGUGCCAGGUAAUUGGCGUCUGUGGGGGACAGGUGCUCCCACAAUGCAGCAGGGAUCUCUGCCGAGUCUUCUUUCACAUGACCGUAAUUACCUAAUUGAAAAGCUCACUGGGGGGAAAUAGGAAUGAGAGAUAAGGUUUCUUUCACCAAAUCUCAGGCUGCUUUUCUGUCGAGCUGAAAAAACAUCUAUUUGU